AUUGAACGCUGGCGGCAGGCCUAACCCAUGCACGUCGAACGAGUGGCGGACGGGUGAGUAAUGUCUGGGAAACUGCCUGAUGUAGGGGGAUCACUACUGGAAACGGUAGCUAAUACCGCAUACCAUCGGAUGUGCCCAGAUGGGAUUAGCUAGUAGGUGGGGUAAAGGCUCACCUAGGCGACGUUCCCUAGCUGGUCUGAGAGGAUUACCAGCCACACGGGAACUGAGACACGGUCCAGACUCCUACGGGAGGCAGAAGUGGGGAAUAUUGCACAAGGGGCGAAAGCCUGAUGCAGCCAUGCCGCGGGUGGGAAGAAGGCCUGCGGGUUGUAAAGUACUUUCAGCGGGGAGGCGUUACCCGCAGAAGAAGCACCGGCUAACUCCGUGCCAGCAGCCGCGGUAAUAC
rnacentral:rRNA from 1 species